GCGAUGCCGCGUGAGUGAAGAAGGCCUUUGGGUUGUAAAGCUCUUUCNUCGGGGAAGAAAAUGACUGUACCCGAAUAAGAAGGUCCGGCUAACUUCGUGCCAGCAGCCGCGGUAAUACGAAGGGACCUAGCGUAGUUCGGAAUUACUGGGCUUAAAGAGUUCGUAGGUGGUUGAAAAAGUUAGUGGUGAAAUCCCAGAGCUUAACUCUGGAACUGCCAUUAAAACUUUUCGGCUAGAGUAUGAUAGAGGAAAGCAGAAUUUCUAGUGUAGAGGUGAAAUUCGUAGAUAUUAGAAAGAAUACCAAUUGCGAAGGCAGCUUUCUGGAUCAUUACUGACACUGAGGAACGAAAGCAUGGGUAGCGAAGAGGAUUAGAUACCCUCGUAGUCCAUGCCGUAAACGAUGUGUGUUAGACGUUGGAAAUUUAUUUUCAGUGUCGCAGGGAAACCGAUAAACACACCGCCUGGGGAGUACGACCGCAAGGUUAAAACUCAAAUGAAUUGACGGGGACCCGCACAAGUAGUGGAGCAUGUGGUUUAAUUCGAAGAUACGCGCAGAACCUUACCAACACUUGACAUGUUCGUCGCGACUCUAAGAGAUUAGAGUUUUCGGUUUGGCCGGACGAAACACAGGUGCUGCAUGGCUGUCGUCAGCUCGUGUCGUGAGAUGUUGGGUUAAGUCCCGCAACGAGCGCAACCCUCACUUUUAGUUGCCAUCAUUAAGUUGGGCACUCUGAAAGAACUGCCAGUGAUAAGCUGGAGGAAGGUGGGGAUGACGUC
rnacentral:rRNA from 1 species